GAUGAACGCUGGCGGCGUGCCUAAUACAUGCAAGUCGAGCGAACGGACGAGAAGCUUGCUUCUCUGAUGUUAGCGGCGCACGGGUGAGUAACACGUGGAUCACCUACCUAUAAGACUGGGAUAACUUCGGGAAACCGGAGCUUAUACCGGAUGAUAUUUUGAACCGCAUGGUUCAAAAGUGAAAGACGGUCUUGCUGUCACUUAUAGAUGGAUCCGCGCUGCAUUAGCUAGUUGGUAAGGUCACGGCUUACCAAGGCAACGAUGCAUAGCCGACCUGAGAGGGUGAUCGGCCACCCUGGAACUUGGCCACGGUCCAGACUCCUACGGGAGGCAGCAGUAGGGAAUCUUCCGCAAAGGGCGAAAGCCUGACGGAGCAACGCCGCGUGAGUGAUGAAGGUCUUCGGAUCGUAAAACUCUGUUAUUAGGGAAGAACAUAUGUGUAAGUAACUGUGCACAUCUUGACGGUACCUAAUCAGAAAGCCCCGGCUAACUACGUG
rnacentral:rRNA from 1 species